rnacentral:rRNA from 1 species
GAUGAACGCUGACAGAAUGCUUAACACAUGCAAGUCUACUUGAAUUUGGGUUUUUAACUUAGGUUUGGGUGGCGGACGGGUGAGUAACGCGUAAAGAACUUGCCUCACAGCUAGGGACAACAUUUAGAAAUGAAUGCUAAUACCUAAUAUUAUGAUAAUAGGGCAUCCUAUAAUUAUGAAAGCUAUAUGCGCUGUGAGAGAGCUUUGCGUCCCAUUAGCUAGAGGUAGAGAGAUCGGCUCACCAAGACGAUGAUGGGUAGCGGGCCUGAGAGAGUGAUCGGCCACAAGGGGACUGAGACACGGCCCUUACUCCUACAGGAGACGGCGGUGGGGAAUAUAGGACAAUAGACCGAGAGACUGAUCCAGCAAUUCUGUGUGCACGAUGAAGUUUUUCUCGAAUGUGAAGUGCGUUCAGUUGGGAAAAAAGAAAUGACGGUACCAACAGAAGAAGAGACGGCUAUAAUACGUGCCCCCCAGCCCCGGGAAUACGUAUGUCACAAGCGUUUUUUCGGGUUUAUUUGGCGUAAAGAGCGCCUAGGGGGGUUAUGUAAGACUGAUAUGAAAAAAGCACGGCUCUGACUCUGUUUUGCGCUGGAAAAACUGUAACUAGAGAACUGGAGAGGGAACGCAAAAUACACAAGUGUAGAGGGAAAAUUCAGAGAUAUUGUAGGGAAGUCGAGAGGGGAGCCAGCUUACUCGUGGACAUACUGUCGCUGAAACGCGAAAGCGUGGGGUGCAAAAAGGGAUAGAAACCCCCGGGUACCCAGGGGGAAAAUCCCAUUUGGGUGUCGCCCCGGGGGGCCCCAAAUUUUUGAGGGGGCCCGCCCGGGGGCGCCCCAAAUCCCCCUUUAUGAGGGUCAAUUCGCGCGCCCCACUGUCCCUGUUUUUCCGACCCGCCGUGACUGGGAAAACCCCUGUCGUUAACCAAAUUAUAUCCCCUGGAGUACAUCCCCUUUCCCCGGUUGGUUUAAUAGGAAAGAG